rnacentral:rRNA from 1 species
CAAAAAUAAACCUGGCUGG